rnacentral:tRNA from 1 species
GGGGGUGUAGCUCAGUGGUAGAGCAUGUGCUUAGCACAUGUGAGGCCCUGGGUUCAAUUCCCAGCACCACAA